rnacentral:rRNA from 1 species
UACGUAGGGUGCAAGCGUUGUCCGGAUUUAUUGGGCGUAAAGAGCUCGUAGGCGGUCUGUCGCGUCGGAUGUGAAAACCCAGGGCUCAACCCUGGGCCUGCAUUCGAUACGGGCAGACUAGAGUACGGCAGGGGAGACUGGAAUUCCUGGUGUAGCGGUGAAAUGCGUAGAUAUCCGGAGGAAUACCAAAGGCGAAGGCAGCAUCCUGGACCGACAUUGACGCUGAGGAGCGAAAGCUAGGGGAGCAAACGGG